AGGAGGAGGAGGAGGAGAAGGUGGCUAGUUGGAGGCUGCAUGUAACUCGUGGAUGCUGGGAAAGGUUAAAUCUCACUGGUGGAUGCUGGGAAAGGUUAAAUCUCACUGGUGGAUGCUGGGAAAGGUUAAAUCUCACUGGUGGAUGCUGGGAAAGGUUAAAUCUCACUGGUGGAUGCUGGGAAAGGUUAAAUCUCACUGGUGGAUGCUGGGAAAGGUUAAAUCUCACUGGUGGAUGCUGGGAAAGGUUAAAUCUCACUAGUGGAUGCUGGGAAAGGUUAAAUCUCACUGGUGGAUGCUGGGAAAGGUUAAAUCUCACUGGUGGAUGCUGGGAAAGGUUAAAUCUCACUGGUGGAUGCUGGGAAAGGUUAAAUCUCACUGGUGGAUGCUGGGAGGGGUUAAAUCUCACUGGUGGAUGCUGGGAAGGGUUAAAUCUCACUGGUGGAUGCUGGGAAGGGUUAAAUCUCACUGGUGGAUGCUGGGAAGGGUUAAAUCUCACUGGUGGAUGCUGGGAAGGGUUAAAUCUCACUGGUGGAUGCUGGGAAGGGUUAAAUCUCACUGGUGGAUGCUGGGAAGGGUUAAAUCUCACUGGUGGAUGCUGGGAGGGGUUAAAUCUCACUGGUGGAUGCUGGGAAGGGUUAAAUCUCACUGGUGGAUGCUGGGAAGGGUUAAAUCUCACUGGUGGAUGCUGGGAAGGGUUAAAUCUCACUGGUGGAUGCUGGGAAAGGUUAAAUCUCAUUGGUGGAUGCUGGGAGGGGUUAAAUCUCACUGGUGGAUGCUGGGAAAGGUUAAAUCUCACUGGUGGAUGCUGGGGUUGGUUAAAUCUCAUCACCACCACCACCACCACCAUCAUCAUCACC